AUUGAACGCUGGCGGCAGGCCUAACACAUGCAAGUCGAGCGAGCGGCGGACGGGAGAGGAAUGUAUGGGGACGUCACGAUAGAGGGGGAUAACUACUGGAAACGGUAGCUAAUACCGCAAACUAUCGGAUAGCCCAUAUGGGAUUAGCUAGUAGGUGGGGUAAUGGCGCACCUAGGCGACGAUCCCUAGCUGGUUUGAGUGGAUGAGCAGCCACACUGGGACUGAUGCACUGCCCAGACUCCUACGGAGGCAGCAGUGGGGAAUAUUGCACUAUGGGCGCAAGCCUGAUGGAGCCAUGCCGCGUGUAUGAAGAAGGCCCUAGGGUUUUAAAGUACUUUCCGUCGGGAGGCGUUACCGACAGAAGAAGCACCGGCUAACUCCGUGCCAGCAGCCGCGGUAAUUC
rnacentral:rRNA from 1 species